GCAACACGCAUCUUUAGUUGUAACUGCGGGCCUGUCAACCGGGCUGCACUAGAAGGCGUAUCAGAGUCACAGUUGUCCGUUUGUCCUUCGUGCGUACCAGCCUAGGCAUGCACAGAAACCCACCACCGUGAUAGCCAUUCCCAGGAGAAGAGCGACGGCAUCCCCGCCGUCAAAUGCCUCAACCGGCGGUAUAAAUGAAGUAAGCAGUAGCCACAGCAUCAUAAACACACCGCAGAGCCUGUUAUAGGAAGCCAUGUUGUAUUUUCUAGAGGCUGAGCUUAGUGACGUUUUGUCAGAUGAUUGGGGCGCGUUUCCUGCUUGGAGGCCAAUUACACUGUUGCUGUCGUGUUGCCAUGUCAGUGAGGAACUGGCUUCGCUAUGGCUGUUCUUAUCUUCUUUCAAUAAUUAUUCUGGAAUUUGUCUGUCAUGACAUAAAUUGCAAUUGGAACUCUGGGUUUUCUUUCUUUCGAGUCGGUGUGUCACAAAUGAGUGGAGUAGUCAGUUCCAGAUCGAGAACCUCGCACUGCUGUGGAACACCGCCAUUUUAUGUGAACGCCUCUCACAAAUUCCCAGCCGUGGAACGAGACAGAUGUUGCAGAGACGUGCAGGCCAAGAAGAGCUGAAUCCCAGCGAACCUCUCCACUGCUCCUUAUUGCAGGCCUCUCCUAUAGCAGAGAAGAGUGUGUCUGUCCUCAGACUUCCAGGUACUGUAGGAAAUCUAAUUAAAUGAGAACUCAACGGGAGGACUUCAUUUUAUUUUAUUUUAUUUACAGAAUUAGCUUUUUUAAAAAUAAUACUGAAAGAGUUUAGAAAACUCAUUCAGCUAGGCUGCAGAAGGAUAACUGUGCAUGCAUGGCUAUAGCACAUUAGUCAGGUUAGUGAUGGUGUUCUACUGAGGUUAAAGUGUGUUCCUCCUGUCUUCCAUUGCAA